UACCUGCGUCUGGAAAUAAAUGC
rnacentral:piRNA from 1 species